CGGGCGGGUGACACGGGACGGACGGUGCCGGGUGUCACCCCCUCCCUCCGGCCCGUACCCCAGCGCCGCGCGGCCCGGCACCUCGGGGGCGCACGGGCCGUACCACCCUACGGGCACGCCGAGGAGCUGGAAGGGCAGCCCCGCCCGGCGCUAUUUGCCGCACGGGCCACCGCCGGGAUGCUCCUUUGUUCUGUUUGCCCUCCCGGCAUCUCACUGGGAAAAGCAGCGGGCUGGGCAAGAGCGGAGCCGAUGAAGAAUACCCCCAUCCCCCCCGCGCCGCAGUGAUAAAUAACUAAACGCUAUGAGGCAGAGAACCCCUUCUUGGUUGGGAGCAUGGGAGAAGAGGUGGAGGAGGUCUAGCGUCCGGGACUGCACUGGGGAUGAUGGCUGAGGAGCUGGAGAGAGAAGAAUCGUACAGAAUCAGCUAGGCUGGAAAAGAUCUCUGAGGUCAUCAAGUCCUGUCUUUGUCCGAACAUGUGAAUGUAACCCUGACAUUAAGUGCCAUGCCCAGUCUUUUCUCAAACACCGGGACGGUGACUCCACAGCAGCAGCUCCUUUGAAGCAGUCCCAGCAUCCUGAUUUCCUGUGCACAUUGUAAAGUCCUCCCUUUCAGCACGAUGGAAUAAAUUUAGAUUCAUUGUG